rnacentral:rRNA from 1 species
GACGAACGCUGGCGGCGUGCUUAACACACGCAAGUCGAACGGAAAGGCCCUGCUUUUGUGGGGUGCUCGAGUGGCGAACGGGUGAGUAACACGUGAGUAACCUGCCCUUGACUUUGGGAUAACUUCAGGAAACUGGGGCUAAUACCGGAUAGGAGCUCCUGCUGCAUGGUGGGGGUUGGAAAGUUUCGGCGGUUGGGGAUGGACUCGCGGCUUAUCAGCUUGUUGGUGGGGUAGUGGCUUACCAAGGCUUUGACGGGUAGCCGGCCUGAGAGGGUGACCGGCCACAUUGGGACUGAGAUACGGCCCAGACUCAUACGGGAGGCAGCAGUGGGGAAUAUUGCACAAUGGGCGGAAGCCUGAUGCAGCAACGCCGCGUGCGGGAUGACGGCCUUCGGGUUGUAAACCGCUUUCGCCUGUGACGAAGCGUGAGUGACGGUAAUGGGUAAAGAAGCACCGGCUAACUACGUG